AUGGUAGUCCACGCCGUAAACGAUGUAUGCUAGUUGUUGGGGUCUCUAGGCCUCUGCGCCGCAGGGAAACCAUUAAGCAUACCGCCUGGGGAGUACGAUAGCAACGUUAAAACUCAAAAGAAUCGACGGGGACCCGCACAAGCGGUGGAGCAUGUUGUUUACUUCGAAUCAACGCGAAGAAUUUUACCCACACUUUACAUCCUUCUUGGGACUUUCAGAGAUGAUUGUAUUCGGUUCGGCCGGGGAAGUGACAGGUGCUGCAUGGCUGUCGUCAGCUCGCGUCGAGAGAUGUCCGGUUAAGUACCGCAACGAGGGCAUCCCUUAUCGGAUGUUGCCAUCAGGUUAUGCCGGGCACUCGUGCGAGACUGCCGGUGAUAAGCCGGAGGAAGGCGGGGACGACGCCAAGUCAUCAUGGCCCUUACGUGUGGGGCCACAAACCUGCUACAAUGGUAACGACAGUGGGCAGCUACUGUGGGAGGAGCAUUUAAUCCCUAAUCAUUAUAUCAGUUCCGAUUGUACUCUGCAACUCGAGACAUGAAGUUGGAAUCCCUAGUAAUCGUGAAUCCGCAUGUCACGGAGAAUACGUUCCCGGUCCUUGUACACCCCGCCC
rnacentral:rRNA from 1 species